GACGGAGGAGGCUAGCGUUGUCCGGAAUUAUUGGGCGUAAAGAGCACGUAGGCGGUUUCAUAAGUCAUGUGUGAAAACUUUAGGCUUAACUUAAAGAUUGCAUUUGAUACUGUGGAGCUUGAGUACAGUAGAGGAAAGUGGAAUUCCUGGUGUAGCGGUGAAAUGCGCAGAUAUCAGGAAGAACACCAGUGGCGAAGGCGGCUUUCUGGACUGUUACUGACGCUGAGGUGCGAAAGCUAGGGGAG
rnacentral:rRNA from 1 species